UACGUAGGGGGCAAGCGUUAUCCGGAAUUACUGGGUGUAAAGGGAGCGUAGACGGUAAUGUAAGUCUGGAGUGAAAGGCGGGGGCCCAACCCCCGGACUGCUCUGGAAACUAUGUCACUAGAGUGCAGGAGAGGUAAGCGGAAUUCCUAGUGUAGCGGUGAAAUGCGUAGAUAUUAGGAGGAACACCAGUGGCGAAGGCGGCUUACUGGACAGUAACUGACGUUGAGGCUCGAAAGCGUGGGGAGCAAACAGG
rnacentral:rRNA from 1 species